UCCCUCUUAGCUCAGUUGGUAGAGCGCGUCACUAGUAUAAGCCAUGAGGUGUUUCGUUUAUGACGAGGUCAGUCGUUCAAAUCGGCUAGCGGGAA